UUUGAGCUAAUACCGGAUAAUGUCUUCGGACCAAAGAUUUAUCGCCUUUAGAUGGGCCCGCGUUGGAUUAGCUAGUUGUGGGGUAAAGGCCUACCAAGGCGACGAGUCCAUAGCUGGUCUGAGAGGAUGAUCAGCCACACUGGGACUGAGACACGGCCCAGACUCCUACGGGAGGCAGCAGUGGGGAAUAUUGGACAAUGGGCGAAAGCCUGAUCCAGCAAUGCCGCGUGAGUGAUGAAGGCCUUAGGGUUGUAAAGCUCUUUUACCCGAGAUGAUAAUGACAGUAUCGGGAGAAUAAGCUCCGGCUAACUCCGUG
rnacentral:rRNA from 1 species